AUGAACGACCUUUUCUCGACGAACUCGUUCAAGAAGUAUGCGGACGCGAACCCGGAGACGUCGUCGGCCGACAUGGAGGCCGGCGGCAUGAACGGCGCGAACCUGGACCAGUUCUUCUCGGACGUGGAGGCUGUGAAGGAGGACUUAAAGGGCUUCGAGACCCUGCACAAGCGGCUGCAGUCCACCAACGAGGAGACCAAGACGGCGCACGACGCCCGCACCAUCAAGGCCCUCCGCUCCCGCAUGGACGGCGACGUCGAGCAGGUGCUCAAGCGCGCCAAGGCCGUCAAGGCCAAGCUCGAGGCGCUCGAGCGCGACAACGCCAACUCCCGCAAGGCGCCCGACUGGGGCCCCGGGUCCUCCGUCGACCGAACCCGCACCUCUGUCGUCGCCGGCCUCGGCAAGAAGCUCAAGGAUAUCAUGGACGACUUCCAGGGGCUGAGGGCGAAGAUGGCGGCGGAGUACAAGGAGACGGUGGCGCGGCGGUACUUCACGGUGACGGGCGAGCACGCGGAGGAGAGCACGAUCGACUCGCUCAUCUCGUCCGGGGAGAGCGAGUCGUUCCUGCAGAAGGCGAUCCAGGACCAGGGGCGCGGGCAGGUGAUGGACACCAUCUCGGAGAUCCAGGAGCGGCACGACGCUGUCAAGGACAUCGAGCGCAGCCUCAUGGACCUGCACCAGGUGUUCCUUGACAUGGCGGCGCUCGUCGAGGCGCAGGGGCACCAGCUCAACGACAUCGAGAGCCACGUCGCGCACGCCAGCUCCUUCGUGCGCCGGGGCACCGUCGAGCUGGAGCAGGCGCACGAGAUCCAGAAGGACACCCGCAAAUGGAUGUGCUUCGCCGUCAUCGGGGGCAUCGCGCUCGUCGUCGUCGUCGUCACGCCGGUGCUCAUCAACCUCCACAUCUUGACGCUCAGAUGA
rnacentral:rRNA from 1 species